UGUGAAGAAGCUGGACAGCGCAUAUACGUCAAAUUGUAAAGUGUUCUGGAGAGGAAGUUUUAUCCAGGUUUUGUUUGUUCUUGUUCUCCGGUUGUUUUUUUGUUGUUGACCCGAAUUGACCUGGGACUGUUCGCUGUGAGGCUGGAGUCACUGGAUCCAGGACCUGUGGACCUGCUGGACGCCUUGACGUCUCUUCUUGGUGGACCUGGCCUUCAUUGCAGUACAGUUGAAUUAAGCUAAGAUCUUGUGCACCAACGAAAGAAAGAAACAAAAAAUCAUACUACCCGGGUAGAUGAGACAAAAUAGUUUUUUUUCAGAGCUCUGAACUUUUUAUUUUUGAAAGGACAAAUUGUUGGACAAAAGGACUGAUUUAUGUAGGGGUAAGCUGGUAAUAUUUGGGGAAGAAUAUUGAUUCUGUUCAAUAAAUUUUACACACUUUUCUCAUUUCAACCUACAGUGUAAAUUUAUUACACCUUCUUUCCUCCUUUAGAACCUAGAUUCCUGGGUACACGUAUCAUUCAUAUCUUACUAGUUCGUUUGGUACAGGUUACACAAUCAAUCCAAUUCUUUUUAUGAAUGUCCAUUUCAGUGCACAUCUUCUGCGCAAAUGUGAGUAUUUUACCAUUACACAAAAUCUACCAAUGCACAAAAACUAAUGUUGGUGCCAAUUAUUGACCAUUACCAGGCUGCAAGAAAACAGCACAAAAUGAUCUGCUUUGCAUUUAUCAGAUAGGAAAAAUAUCAAAAUGUAUUUUUUUGCCAACACAAAAAUUUGUCCUUUCAUAUAUAUCUCAAAUUUAGACCAAGAUGUAGCACAGAAUUGUCUGAAAAGAAUAAUCCUAAAAAGUAAAAAAAUAAAUAAAAUUAAUGAACAAAACAUUUUCCCGGAUUUCCAAAAACUGCACAUUUUAUGUGCUUAAUGAUUUAAACAUGACAAUUUGAUGAACACAGGGUACUGACGGUCUGAUGUGGUGGCUGAGCAGAGUUGAAAAAUCCUCAAAAAGGUACCACCUCACCAAAUUUCAUGCUAUUUCAUGUGUACAAAAUUACUGACCACAACUAUGUAUAUGAACGUUUUGAACAUUACAUUUUGGCGAAUGACAUUCCGGCUGCAAAGAAAGUGUCAGUGUUGUUUAGUGUGAUGGGACCUAAAACGUAAGAACUACACUGCAGUCUGGUAGCUCCCAUGAAGCCUGGUACAGUGACCUAUAGCAAGACUGUGACUGUGUUGCAAGCCCAUUUAGCUCCAAAACUUUUGAAAGUUUCUGCUUCCACAAGCGAAAUCAAAGGGAAGGAAAAACAGUAGCACCGUACGUUGCGGUGCUUAAGAGACUGUCGGAACACUGUGAGUUCAGUGGUUACUUGGAAGACGCUCUAAGAGACAGAUUUGUAUGUGGAUUAAAGAGCAAAACUGUUCAGAAGCACCUUUUGACUGAGAAAGAUCUCAUGUUCCAGAAAGCAGCAGCCCAUGCUGUGUUGUCAGAGACAGCAGCAUGCAAUGUAGAGUUAAGGAUGUAUUUUCGCAGUGAUAAAUGUCGCCGUUGUGGAAAAAUGGAAAAAAGAGAUUGUCAUCAGUGUGGGAGGAAAGUCCAAGAGCAAAGCCAAAAGCAGCCAAGACAGAGAACACAAACAGAAGGAUGGAAGGUCUGAACAGGAAGGUCAUUAAACCAGAGUGAAAUAUAAAAAGAAGAAAAUUCAUCAUGUUGAGGCACAGGAAAGUGAAAGUGAAGAAAUUAAAUCAGAUGCUGAUAGCAAUUUGGGACUUUAUUCCUUGUUUCAAAAAUGGAAAUAUUCACGUAUAUCAAUAAUACCUUUAGUCAAUGGAAAGAAAAUGGAGAUGGAAUUGGAUACAGGGGUAUCACAUACAAGUAGAAUUAAACAAGCAAUGUGCUGUUUGCCCUUGUUCGUGGAUGCUCCACCAUUGUUUGGUAGUGGCUGGGGAGUCAUUAAACUGAAUUGGGAUCUGAAUUGACAAUCUAGAGAUGGUGUUGAAGAAACACUCCGCUGUUUUCUCAUAUAAGUUAGGCUCAGUGAAAGGUAUUAAAGCCAGACUCACGGUAAGACCAAACAGUACACCCAAAUUCUGCCUACUUCUGAAUCUUAGAAGUGAUAUCAAGAGUAACAUAACUCUCCUAUUUUUAUUUAAUGUUUAUUCAAAGAAAAGAAAGAAGAAAUUUACCUCUUAUGACGUAUAACAGGGAAAUUAUCUCUUGAGUUGUGUUAAAGAAAAUAUGCUUUUGUUUAUUGACAACAAAUCUUAGUGGGGAGGUGAUGUUACGUAUGAACCUAAACGUUUUAUACAGUUUUCAGUUUUCUACCAAUAGAUGGAACCAAGCAACUACGUAAGUUGUAGAGUUCUGAUUCGAAAAACAUUAUAAAAAGUAAGUGAAUCAGCCAACAUGUGUCUUCGUAGCUCUUUGUGUCAUGUAAAAGUGUUUGCAUAGUGACAUAAAAGGGAGCAACAUAAGCCUAUACAUGAAGAUUAAUUACCGGAACCACACGCAAUAUUCAACUUGACCACUGGAGGCGAGCGGACUGCCACCAAUAUUACAAAAGGUUUGUAUUUACCGACAAAAUAAAAUGAUGUAAUUUUCAGAAAACAUAACCAUAAUAAUCACCCUCUGAACUGUUGACCUUAUUUACAUCGACAAUUUCACACAUUUUGUAGUCGUUUCUGAAAUGGUCGCUCAAGAAAAGACACUUGUUUUAAGCGUUCACCUUUCUUUCCGAAGUAUUUCUGGGCCCUACCUUGCACACAAUCUUAGGGCUAGAACAAGUGUAGGGCGUGGAGCUCUAAACAAGAGGUGUGGUGUGUCUAUCAGGUGGUGUGGAGCAGACAGAGUGUGGUGCAGUGAACUGCCAGAAUAGUAAAGAUAAAUAUAAAUAUCAAACUGCUGCAGAGUACAGGUUCAUUCGUACCACCAGCAGCCCAAAGUACCUGCAGGUAAAUGGAGAAGCCGAGCGGGCAGUAGCCACUGUCAAAGGACUGUGGAAAGGAGGAGGUGAGAAAACAAAGGCUACAUCUCUUAGUAUCUUACACAACUCCUGAUGGGCAGAACCAAACAGAGACAGUACAAAACCAACUGACAAUGUUACUACAAUCACAGCCACAAGGCCAGACCACUGACACUUCUGCAAGUGGGUCAAAACAUGUGGCUGUCAAGAAAGAACAAAGAACAACAAGCAACUUGUGGGAAUUAUUUUCUGUAUUUUUAGUGUUUCAUUCAUGUUAAUUCACCAUGCAAUAUGGAAGGGGUGUAAUGUUCUUGUACAUGUGUCAUAAAGAGAAGUCAAUGUCUGAACUUUAAAAUGUCAAUGAGUUUGGGACAUGUUAUGAUGGACUUUGUGAUGUAUACGAGACAUAAAGGGGGAGUGUCUGAACUCUUUAACAUAUGACAAUCUGUGAUUACACUGUCUGGGUCAACAUUACUGUAAAUUUCCUGUAAAUACCUGUUAUAGUCUGUCAAUAUUUUGAAGAGAUGGUCAGUAUAAAGCUGCCAGCUCUGUUGUACUAGGAGAGGUGACGUGGAGCGAUGCUGUGUGAAUCAACUUGAAUCAAGAGACCUGUACCUGUGUGAGCCUAAUAAAGAGACAUGUUUGUGAACACCUUUAAUCCUUCUGGACUCUCUUUUAAGGCUCUUUCCAGGCCCCUCCAGAAGAAGCUGACAAUUUGGUGACCCGCGACGUGAUUCCGAUGAAGACUUCUGGAGGAGGCAGGUCCAAGACGUCACUCCGCAAGAAUCCCAAAAAAAGACAUUGCAAAAGAGCGCGCUACAAAAAAGGUCAGAAUUUUUGUCUAUUAAAUUAAUGUCAAAAAAUGUGAUGUACUUAUUGGGACUCUUGCGAUAUCUAAUUGAGUGUUUUUUUUUUAAAGGAACUAUAAAUAAAUUAGCAAUUGAUGAAUAUUUAAGAAUUGUGUUAGACUUCACGUCAAGAAAGUCAAAAUAAGUGGCUUUAAUGGCCAGAAUCGUGUUAUAACUUCACGAAAAAAAAGUUGGUGAAUCUAAAAAAAUAAUAGUAUUUUUUAGGCUUUAAAGGUUGUAUGGAGGAUUUUUUUUUGUUUCAAGUUGUCAAUGAUAGCAUUAUAGAGGUGCAGUAGCCUUGUAAUUAUGAUGACCAAAAAAAAGAGAAUAAAAAUUCAUCAACUCUGGACGUGGUGGGGCCAGCUAAACAUUUGCCAAUAGAUAACGACACUGCUUCGUUAUCUGUUAGCUGAAAGGCUGUCAAUCAAUCUCCCUACGUUUCUAGCAUAACUGACUUGCCUGCGCCGCCGGUACGUGGUUUACGUACGCCUGUCACGCAGUCCACAGACGCAAGCCGCACAGACGCUGUUUACUCCACCAACGCAACAGUUCUUAGCUGCUUUUUUUGACCUAUAUCUUCCUCGCAGUUAGCACAAAGUUUGUUGCAAUGGCAGACAAGAAUCCAGGAGCAGUUAGCCGCAAAAGAAAGUCCGUUUUUGAGGUCGCUGAAAGAAGAAGACAAGGGCAAAAGCAGCGAAGCCAAACUAAGGUGAUUCUUGAAGAUUCAUUCCAGCGAUGGCGCGACUGAAGCUGACGCAGGGUCUAAAGACUGACGCAUUGGUCGCCAAAUUACUCCUGGACAGGUCACUUCUGCUUAUUAUGAAAACAUACUUUAUUUCCAAGAGCUAGUCAAACGUUUUUCAGGACACGAAAGCGAUAUCCUAUGUCUGAAAACGUAAUUUUCAAGGCAAAGAAAGAGUCCGCUUGCUGCUGCGUGUUGUAGCUAGUUCAUUCGCACGGAAUCUCCGCGCAACCUUCUCUGCACCCCUUUCCUGCUCCUGUGCCCGCUGCCCGAUCCGCUCUUCCCCCUGCUCCUCACUUCUCCGGGCACGGAAUCUCCGCGCACCGCUCCCCUCUCCUCUCUCCUCUCACCUCUCCCUGCUCCUCACUUCUCGUCCGCGAACGAAAUGUCCGCACACCCGCUCCCCCCGCUCCUCACUUCUCCGUCUUGCCUAACCAACACUGUAGUUAGGUGUUUACAAGUCAUGUGCAGCGCACCGGCUGUAAACAAACCUGUUUCUGGCGUAAGGAGGAGGCGUUUCUACGUAGGGAGCUGUAGGGGAGCGGGGGGUUUCACGCAUGCGCAACAUUUGAAAAAGGACAAACAGUCGCUGGAUUUCUCGUUCUUUGGAAAAUCCUCUAUACAACCUUUAAAUAAGAUAAAGCGUAAUUAACAAAGUUAUUAAUUUUAAAGUGCCGUGUUAGGCUUUGCAUGAGAGAAAAGGAAAUUUUUAUAAGAAAAUAUAUGUCUGUGGUUAAACUUUUACGCAGAAAAAAAACAAAGCUUUUAAUGAAGUUUAUAUAAAAAAGAAUAAAAAACUUAAGUUGCGCACAAAAAAGUAGAACACGGAGAAAGGAGUCAAAUUUGGUAUAGAGACAAAAGAGUAGAACCGAUUAAAAAACAGUGGCCUAUUGUAAAAAUUAAAUCUAAAUUGAGGAGAAGAAAAAAGUAUUAGUGUUUUUUAUUUACACUCUGAGCUCUAAAAGAAACAAGCCUGUUCAAUGAAGUUAUAUUCAAACGAACACGAAAUUAUAAAAGACCGAAGGUCAAAAGAAAGCGAGCCUGUUCAAGUGAACAUGACAUUAUAUGAAUUGACCGAAGGUCAAUAGAACAAGUAGAAACCCUACGAAGCAGAGUGUGUCAAACUGUAACAGUUUUAACUUUACAAUUUGUAACAACAAAUGCCAAGUUUGCAAGUAACAAGUCAAAUAAGUUUAGUGACAAAUUAACAAAUGCUAUUAGUGGAUCUGAUAUAAACAUGAAAUAGUGAAAGAAAUAACCAGUUUUGGGGAGUAAUGGAUUACAACAAGUACCAGCAUUAUGUAAUCAGAGUAUAAAUUAUGAGUAACUGUGCUUAGUUAAAGUCACCGUUUCAGUGAGUGGUAACUGGAUUACAGUUACUUUGUUAAAAUAAAUGACUUACAUAGCAGUAUUUUACCGUUUUCACAUUUUGGACUGAACUGAGUCUAGGGUCAGGACUGAACCAGGUCUAAACGAGAUAGGUUACGUAAAUCGUAGAGUAAACAUAUUUUAAAGCGGCAGUGAACUCAUAUAGGAAGCAUUUCUCUAUUAAUAAUUUCUUAAGGAAAUAAAUAAUAAAGUCUUAAGGAAAAACUGGGGUUUUAAUUGCCUUUAAGUAGACAAAACAUCCCAUGUUAAGAUAUUCUGGUCUCUGUUACUUUUAGCAAACAGUUGUUCAUGGAGACUUGGGCUCAACAGUUAAUUUUAAAAGAGAACAAACAAGAAUUUGCAGGAUGUGUUUGCUUUGUUCAUGUAGUUUAAAAAGCAUGACAGUAUCAAUUAAUUCAAAGUAUUCAGAUUACAUUACUCACUUUAAAGUAAUUUAAUGUACUGUAUUGCGUUACAAACUACAUUUUGAGGCAUGUAAUCUGUAAUCUGUAGGGGAAUACAUAAUUACAUACAUUUUAAGAGUAACCCUCCCAAUACUAGAAAUAACUGAGAACCUGUGACCGUCUAAACUCAUCUAAUGUCGCUAAAAUAUUAAAGGAUCUAAGAAUAUGGCAUGUUAAAAAACUAUUUUGAAGAGAAGUUUUGGCUAUGCUUUAUGUAACGUUAAAUUUUAAGGCUAGGCGACAGGAUGUUAAAUAGGACAAGAAGAGCAGUCAAAGGAGCACAGGGUAGGAAUGACAACCAGUAGUCAAAAAUGUUGAUAAUUAUAACUGUAUUGAAAGUAAAAUGAAAGGCAAAGAUAAAUUAUGAGCAAAUAAAGCACAAAAAAUAAAGUCGCCAAAAUAAAAGUCUGCUAAACUAAAAGUGUAUUCGAUACAGGUUACAUCUAAUCGCCUUUAUUUCUGUCCCUUCUGAUCUAGGUAGGAUAACUAAUUAUUGCUAAACUAUUAAAGGCACUGUAUUUAAUAUUUGAUGGCAUUUUUGUUUUUGGGGUGCACGCUAGUUGUCCGUUGGUUGGCAUAGUUGUAAAUGGCAAAUUUAUUGUUUGUUUGUUGUGCUGUUGUUGAAGGGAUAUUCUGUAUGUGUUUUCCUGUCGGUGCGCUCCGCAUUACUGCUUACUAGUGCGGUGCUGAGCUAUUCUUGUAUAUGAAUUGGGAAAUUCAUGUGCAGGAGCGGCUUGAUGUUGCAUUGGCGAGCGGAGGUGCGACGUGCGUACGCGAAGAGCGUGUGAGGCGGCGAAGAAAGUUUGAAAGAAUUAUGUAAGUCGAUAAGCGGGUAUGCGGUGUGUAGCACGAGUUUUUAUGGAAAUUAGGAAAGUUGAUGAGAGGGUGUGACGUAAGUUGAUAAGAGAGAAGUGUGAAAUGUGUGUGGGUGAGGGCGUGUCCAACUAUGGGAAAUACGUAAGUUGGUAUGAAGGUGUGCGAAGUGGGUCAGGAGAAAUUUGAAGGAAUUACGUAACUUGGUGUGAUUAUGCGAAAUGUGUAAUGGGACAUAUAUACACUCUUGAGAAAUGCAACGUUGUUCAAAUUUAAUUAAGUAUGUUUAAUUGCAUUGAAGGUAUAGAGUAACUUUAACCUAUUUUAUAUUUGCUCGUUUUUCUUAAUUCCAACCUAAUAUUAUUAAUUUAAUACUGAUUAAAAUCGCUUGUAGCUUUUAUAUACGAUUUAUAGUUUAAGUAAAAACAAUAUUGCUGAAAAAUUACAAAACAAUAUUAAUAUAUGAAUCAGUAUGAAUUGGGAAAAGAGAAGCUUUGAGUAGUCUUAAAGCAACAUUUACUUUGAAUUUAAUUGACAUUAUUGCUUUGAAUAAUAACCUGUUGCUACAAUGAAAUUGAUAAAGUCUUUUACAUUUAGUACAAACAGUAAGACACAUUAGACACAACUGACAGUUCAGGUCAUGAUACAGGGGACAGUAAAACAGGAAAUGCAUUUCAUUUUCAAUGCUUUGAAAGUCGCACAGAGCAUGUGUGUUGCUCCAGAGAGAGAGAGAGAGAGCCAGGGGCAAAGUCCCAUAUGUCAGCUGAGAUAACUGACCUCUGACAUACAACUCAGGUUCACAGUGACAUACAAUUCAGGUCCAAAACAGUUUUUAAUUAAGAUAUAUGUUCUUAAUUUUGGUUUACAUAAAGUUUUAUUGUGCUACUUUUGUUUAUACUUAUUAAAAUAAAUGUUAUAGAUAGCUUAGAAUGAAUCAUAAAAUCUGCCGUCAUUAUCAAUAUGUAGCAGCUGAAAAUAAAACAGGUCCCAAUUUACAUAGUCAAAGGCUUCUGAAAGUCAAUAAAACAAAUAAAAGUAGGGUUUCCCUCUUGUUUUCUAACAUUAUAUGCAAUUCAUACAGGCUCUUUUCUUCCUAAAUGCAUUAUGCGCCUCGGCCAAUACAUUAAAGAUUUUAGAUAACAGACCAGCCUCUCAUUAAGAACAAUAGAAUAAGGUUUAUAUACAGUUAAGAAGGCUGAGGCCUCUGUAGUUCAUGGUUACUGGGGGUCUGCAGUUGAAAAUUUUAGGAUUGGUUUGAUAAUAGAUUUUUGCCAGCCAGAGAGGACAAGACUUAAAACAAGUAAUAAAUAAUAAUAUUUUAAAGUACUGAGGACAUACCAGGCUGUUUCAGCAGUUUAUUAGACAGAUUAUCAAAUCCAGUGGCUUUUCUAACUUUGAUUUAUCAAUGCCUUUCUUACUUCAUCCUCUGUAAUAUCAAAAUUUAAAUAAGGAUUAAGGAAAAUAAACUAUGUACGCAUCUCUAUUUGAUUUCUUUGAAUUACUGUCAUUUCCAAAUGAGAAUUAUUCCACCAAGGGGAGACAAAAUAUCCUGCAAAUAAAAUGAGUUUCCCAUUUUUAGAACAUUUUCAAUAAAAAAAACUAAGGAGCUAUUAUCUGAGAUCACCUCUACAGGAUAUGCCUAUUUUUAUGUAUUCUCAAUCUGCAGAUUUAGCACAAACACUGUCUUUAGAAGUUUUCAGUUGACAUGGUUCAUAAUAGAAGUUUAUUUGUCUAAAUGUAGUCUCUUAAUGUUUACCGUCAAAAUAAAUUCACAUUUUGUAGUGUUGAACAGAAGCAACCAGUGUGUUCUCGAUCUGAUUAGGACCUGGUCUAAUCUUAGUUUGGUUCUGGUUUAGACUUUGUGUAGUAUUGAUUUGGUUCAGGUUUAGUCCUGGUUUACUAAUUUUUUCAAGUGUUAAACAUGGUCUACAACUGGUUUAGACCAGGUUAGCUCAGUUUUUUUCUUGAUUCAGUCCUUUUAAAUUCUAACUUAGUUCUAGGUUGGUCCCAGCCUAAUCUUGGUUUAGUUCUGAUUCAAUGCUGGUUUACAAAUUUAAUCUUAUGUUAAAAUAUAGUUUAAAGCUGGAUUGGUCCUGGUUUAGUUCCUGUUUGGACCUAAUCUGGUUUUGGUUUAGUUCUGAGUUAGAGCUGCAUUAAUCUUGGUUUAGUACUAGUUUAAACCUGGUUGGGUUGAUCAUGGUUUAGUUCUGAAUUAAUCUGAGUUUGUCUUUGGUUUAGCUUUGUUUUUAUUUCUGCUUUUUCCUAGUUUAGUUUGUCCAAAACAUGGACUUCACUUACAUUUUAAUCCUUUUUUGAUCUCAGUAUUAUUCUUAUGAGCAUGAAUUUUCCUAUGAAACCUGCUUUAAUUAAUUCAUGAUUGCGAAAUAAACUGUUAUUUGACGUGAAUACUAAAAUUGUUUAAAUUUUAAAUAAAUAAUCUUACAGAUUAUUCUACAGAAGCUGCACCGCAGUGAUGCGACUCUGGUGGUCUUUUUCCUCACGCCAGCUAAAACCAGCAACUUCAGCGUGGAGUCACUGAAGGGUCAGUCCAUCUACAAGCAGCAAUGGGACACUGCUCACUUGGUGAAGGAGAAGUUUUGUCAGCAGCUCUAUGACUCUUUGCUCAGAGGUUAGAUCCCUGACAUGAACUUCAUCUGAGGUGACUUCACCAUCACGAGGAGAGCCAUUCACAUUACACAUAGAUGUGGCCUGCCUGUGGUCACUACCUACGACAUACUGGACAAUGCCACUGACCAAGAUUUGGCUAUUUCAGGAAGAGCAUGUGACUGACUGCUGUGCUGUGACUGAUAUGAGAUCUACAUCGUGGUUUGCAGGUUCGACUCUGCAGAUGACUCUGUUACCAGCUGACGCAAUCCAUGUUCAGCUUCUGUCAACAGUUCUGCCUUCGACGCAUCAUUCGAUGUAACUGCACUGAGCGCCCAUCUGAGCGCCUCGACUGGAGAUACCUUCUGGACUCUCUUUUAAGGCUCUUUCCAGGCCCCUCCAGAAGAAGCUGACAAACUAUAGCUAGGUCUUAUAUUAUUGAGAAAGGCAAGGCAGUUAUGAAACACAACUGGGAGACAACAGAUUCAUGGAGUUUCCCAAUUGCUCUGCUUCUACGUCUUCUGGACCACUUCAAACAGAACCAUGUCAUCAGAGCUCCGCAGCUGGUGUUCCAAUUCCCCCAAGCCCCCACGCCCUACGCAUUCUUUUACCAGAAACACGGGUGGAUUCUUGGCCACCUCAGAGCGCUUGAAAUUGCCCACAAUGCACCGCAUACUACUUAAGCAGUAAAAUGCAUUUUAAUCAAAUGAAACUCAUUCUACAAAUAAUAAUAAUGAUAAUAAUAAUAAUAAUAAUAAUAAUAAUAAUAAAUCUGUAAAUAUUUUGCUAUUUUAGCCACAUUACUGCAGAUAACACAUUAUCAGAUCGAAUGAAUUCAAAUCGAAAAUUGGAAUAGUGAUGAGACAAGCCAAAAGAUGAAUUGGAGCAUGACCCUAUGACGAACAGGAAGUCGGCCAUAUUGGAUCAAACAUUCGCCGCCGUUUUGAAUUGGGUGUCUACAAAAAGAUUCAAGUCCCCGGGGUUUGGUCCAAAUGAGCUCAGAUUUGACAUGUCACAUCUACAGACAUGAACUCACAGAAAUCAUCAAUUUUUUGGGGGGAUACAGGCAUUGACCUAGAGAGCUCAAAUUCAAAUCACAAUUGCGUGAUCCAGGCCUGAAUGUAAUGAAAUAUGAAAUUUAAUAAAAGUGAACUCUAUAGCGCCCCCUAGCAUAGACGUGAAAUGUCAACAUUAUCGGAUUAGUACCAAAAUCGGGGAUUAAAUUCUAUGCAUGAUGACAAGCAAAAAAGUUUAUUAUGGACAUGAUGCAUUUUCCACCAUUGGCCAGCAGGGGCGCAAAGACUCCACCAAAAAAUAGUUAAAAAUUAUUACACCCACAGGCUUAGUCCGAUCGUGCUGAAAUUUGAAUCAUUAAUGCCUGAUCACGGCCUGAAUAUAAUACACUAUAAAACAUAUAAAAAGUGAACUCUAUAGCGCCCCCUACCAUAGACAUGAAACGUCAACAUUAUCGGAUUAGUACCAAAUUCGGAGAUUAAAUUCUAUGCAUGAUAACAAGCAAAACAGUCUAUUACGGACAUGAUGCAUUUUUCACGGUUGGCCAGUAGGGGCGCAAAGACUCCUCUGAAACAUUUAAAGGUACACUAUGUAAUUUUUCUGGUGGACGAGCUGUCGGCCUCGGGAGCUGUCGGGAAGAGAGAGUAGCGUGCCGGGGCGGUCGCGAGUCCCCAGAGGUCCCGUGGGGAGCCGGUGCGCGCCGGGGCGAGGGCCACCAUCGCCGCGCGCGGCUUUUUGUUUUUCAAUUUGCUUAUUGAGGUGAUUAUUUCAUUAACAGAAACAGGGGAGUCACAAAUAUUACGGUCAGAAGGUUGAAUUGGUUGAGAAUCUAUAUUAUUUAGAAACAAAUCAGGUCUUCCAGACAUCUCAUUGGGAGCAUAUAGCUUGCUGUAAAAUGUACUAACAAAUUUAGCGAUUUUGAGGGGGUCUGAAGUUACUUGGCCAUCAAUGUUUAAUAACCCUUCCAGACCGACGGUAUCGUAUACGAUACCGGCGGACAUGUUUUACAUAACCGUGCAUAACUUUUUAACCAUAAAAGAUAGAGACUUAUUUUUUUUCCCUUGUAUAGAUAAGACCCGUGGCUUUACGAGCAUCUUUCCGGCAUCAUCCUACGUCACACGCACGCUGCGUGGUGACGUAGUGAAAACAGGUGUCCAAUAGGAACUUCGCUCUUCGGCGCGUGACGUGCUCCAUCCAUUUUCAUUGGCCCAAACUUUGCCAAAGAUUGUUGUAAGUCAAGAUAGUUACUCCUCUGAGCGUCUGUGCUCAUAGCAUUUGAUAAAGCAGACCUAAGUACCAUUAUUUCUCAAGUAAAUGGCAAAUUACGCAUCUCGCGCAUCCCUUACUAUUUUUAUUUGAAAAGUUUUUUUUUUUACUUGCAAAUGAUACAUAAUACACCCAACAGGACGUAAACAGCCUAGUGCCGAGCAAUGAAUCGGGUGCGCGCGGGUGUGAGCAGGUGCGCGCAGAGGCGCGCUUGGCGUACACACAUUCGUGUGCACUGUUGGGCAAGUUACUUUGAAACUGUAAUGCGUUAUUUAUUACCUAUUACUGUCAUUUCAAAGUAAUUCGUUACAUUACAAUAUUACUGCAUUUAAAAUGUAAGGCAUUACAUUACUAUUGCAUUACUUUAAGUUACUCUCACCAAAAUAACUUUUGCGCUGUAUAUGGACUGAACCAGGUCUAAACCAGGACUAAACCAGAGCUGAACCAGGACUAAACCAGAAGUGAACUAGGACUAAAACAGGACUCACUGUAGGGACGGGCUCGAAGGUGACUGCAGGAGAAAGGAGCGGCUCUGCUCCGCACCUCACGGAGGUAAGAGCGGCUGUCACCCGAUCGCUCUUUAUGGACCCUGCUCCUCGGGCUCGCGGCCCUGAUUUCAGCAACUAUUUGCAGGUACCCGAGCCGGUGCAAGAGUCUGUUACAGCGCGUAACUUCUACCUUCCUUCAGCGUGUCCAGAAGUCCAACUUUUUGUGUGAUGGUUUGCAUCUUCCUCUGCCUUUUGGGUGCGAGCGCAGGAGCCUUUGUCGGUGCAGAACAUUUCGUCGACGUUGUGGGUUUCGUCGGGGAGAAAACUUGCAACCGUACAGCACUUCAGAAUCACACUGCUAGAGACUGAACAUGUAUUUAAAUUUGGCAGCUGAACACAUUCUGUACAGGAGACAGGAGUCCCUUGGCCAGUCAGGACGCAGCGGGAGGAACGCAAUACGCAUUCAUACAAUGUAAAAAAAAAAACAGGGCAUGCAAAAUUGCACAAAAAAAAAAUCUGCGAGACAGCGAAAAGUGAACUGCGAUAGAGGGAGGGACGAGUGUAAACCAGGUCUAAACCAGAACUGACCCAGGUCUAAACCAGGUCUAAACCAAAACUGACCCAGGUCUAAACAGCAUGGAGUUCUUUGUCAGUUCUUUCGCCCGCGGUUACCUGAAGGUCUAUGAGGGCGCAUCUCCGGCGUUUCACCGCUGCUGAUAUCGAGGUGAUUUUAGCGAAUUUGUAUGAAGAAAAACCCACCACUUCAAUCCAGGUUAAAAAACACUGUAACGCGUGUUACUCACAUUUGUACCGAGUAAAAUAUUACUAUUUUUUCCCCUGUAAUGCCUUACAUUACUGCGUUACAGCAAAAAGUAAUGCAUUACUGUAAUUCGUUACUUUUAUAACGCGUUACUCCCAACACUGUUCGUGUGCCAAGGCAUUUGUUGUUUUGCGCACAGAGGAUAAAGAGCUCCGGGAAGUCUAUCAGAAGAAAGAAAGAACGAACGAACAGAAAUGGCACGCAAAGCGUCACUUUCCUUGCUGGAAGCGGUGGCGAUGGUAACGGAGCCUGGCAGUGACGCCGAGUCCGAUGUGGACACUUUUUAUACAGAUGAAGAGUUGGAUUACCUGGACGAUCUGGACCCUAUUGAAGAUGCUGAGUCAGAGGAUGUUCCUCAGGCUCCUCCAGAUUCCCCUGUGCCAUUCACUUCAGGUGUCUCCCCAGCUUCAUCAGUGUCUACAACCCCAGCCACCCGUCCAGAACCAUCAAUACCUUCAACACCUACGAUCUCCUCUGAGAGCAGGAGGAGGGGCAGGGAUGGAGGGCAGGGAAGAUCCAGAUCUCCACUCCUCAGUACUUCAUCUCGACCACCACACUUACUAACCACCACACCAGGAAGACCGCAGCAGGCAAGGAUCAUAUGGGAGGCUGUCAUGUGUGCACUGCUGACAAACACAGGGGAAGAGGCAGUGUACUGCAUGGAAAUGCAAGGCCUGUGAUGUGGCACUAUGCCUGGUGCCUGAUAGGAACUGCUUCCAUGAUUGGCAAUAGUGAAGGACUUGGACGAGUGCACUUUUUUUUUGUUUUGAGGGCAAAAAUGACAUUUUUAGAAUACCUACAAACUUCAUAUUUUGCACUUUUGUAGCUAAGACCCUAAACUAAGUAUUUAUUAUGUCUAAAAAGUUUGCUGUGUGUUUUGAAUAAAGGAGUGUGAAUAUUAUUUUCCGUUUUUUUUUUUCCUUUGUAUUUCUAGUGCUAUAGCUUUUAUUACAGCCAUAUGACACAACUACAGCACUCAGAUUGUGAAAGAACAGGUUGUACUGAAAAAAAGGAUGUAUAGCACUUCAUUAGGGGAUAAAAGGGGGAGUUUUAAUAGCAAAAUUAGGAAAAAAAUCCAGGCGAGGACAAAUGUACCAAAAAUGCCCUUAGGUCUGGAAGGGUU